CACGUAUCCAACCUGCCGAUAACUCCGGAAUAGCCUUUCGAAAGAAAGAUUAAUACCGGAUGGCAUACGAAUAUCGCAUGAUAUUUUUAUUAAAGAAUUUCGGUUAUCGAUGGGGAUGCGUUCCAUUAGUUUGUUGGCGGGGUAACGGCCCACCAAGACUACGAUGGAUAGGGGUUCUGAGAGGAAGGUCCCCCACAUUGGAACUGAGACACGGUCCAAACUCCUACGGGAGGCCAGCAUUGAGGAAUAUUGGUCAAUGGGCGAGAGCCUGAACCAGCCAAGUAGCGUGAAGGAUGAAGGCUCUAUGGGUCGUAAACUUCUUUUAUAUGGGAAUAAAGUAUUCCACGUGUGGAAUUUUGUAUGUACCAUAUGAAUAAGGAUCGGCUAACUCCGUGCCAGCAGCCGCGGUAAUACGGAGGAUCCGAGCGUUAUCCGGAUCCAUUGGGUUUAAAGGGAGCGUAGGUGGAUUGUUAAGUCAGUUGUGAAAGUUUGCGGCUCAACCGUAAAAUUGCAGUUGAAACUGGCAGUCUUGAGUACAGUAGAGGUGGGCGGAAUUCGUGGUG
rnacentral:rRNA from 1 species